UUGUGGAGGAGGACGCCGAAGGUGGGGCUAAUGACUGGGGUGAAGUCGUAACAAGGUAGCCGUACCGGAAGGUGCGGCUGGAUCACCUCCUAACAGGGAGACAACAAAAUGUUUAAUAUUAUUAUUUUGUCACCUUAGGUCGAUCGGUAUCUCACGUUCUUAAUUUAUUAAGAAUUUCAUUUCCUAAGUUUUUCUAGGUCACACCCAUUAUUUUUCCUGGGCCAUUAGCUCAGGUGGUUAGAGCGCACCCCUGAUAAGGGUGAGGUCCCUGGUUCAAGUCCAGGAUGGCCCAUAUCUCUAUGUUGGGGGUAUAGCUCAGUUGGUAGAGCGCCUGCUUUGCAAGCAGGAUGUCAGCGGUUCGAGUCCGCUUACCUCCACUGAUUACCACCUCUUCCAUAAUUUGUAGAAGGGAUUAUUUUGAGUUGUGAUCAAAUUCUGAACGAAUCUAGCUUCCUAAUGAAAUCAUUAAGAUGCUGGACUCAUUGAAUUAAUUUCAUUGUUUUCAGAGAACCUUGACAACUGCAUAGAUUUUUUUUAAAGACAAUAAGCAUCUUUAAUGAUGCAGAUUUAUUAUUUGUGCGAAUGCAUUAAUAACAAUUCUAUUAAGCUGAUGCUUCAAUUUUGAAGUUAUUGGUCAAGCUACAA
rnacentral:misc_RNA from 1 species